AUAUCUUAUAAUAGUAACUCAAAUAUAUUUUGGUUUUAGGAUGCAUUGGCCAAGGAUUUGUCACCUGUGGACCAAGUUUGAUCUUAUUUUGCUGUAUCCUUAUCUGAAGACAACCAUAACCAAUGAAGUGUGUGGAGAAAGACAUGUGUUAUGAAUAUUCAAUGUCUAAAAUUAUCUUUCACAAAACUCACCUUUAUCUAGCUGCAUAUUGUUCUUAUGGUGUUUCUCAAUUUAAGAAUUUUUAAAAGUUGUACAUAAUAUAAAAAACUGUUUAAUGCACAUUACUAAUUCUUGUGUUUGUUUUUCUCAGGAAGUAUUUGAAAAAUUUUGAUCAUAUUAACAUUGAGUCCAGUGCUAUUGCAAAGUCUCUUUUACUGAAGAAAACCAAUACAAAUGUGGAUUGUGUAAGGAGUCCUGUGUUGAGACUGUUCAAAGUGAAAAUUGUUCUUCUACCCUAAUCAAAUGCUGUUCUUCGAUUCAAAAAUAUUGAAGGUCAGACGUUAUUAUAUAUUUAUUUUUACGAAUAUUAUAUUUA